rnacentral:rRNA from 1 species
ACGCACGCUGGCGGCGUGCUUAACACCUGCAAGUCGAACGGAAAGGCCCUGCUUUUGUGGGGUGCUCGAGUGGCGAACGGGUGAGUAACACGUAAGUAACCUGCCCUUGACUUUGGGAUAACUUCAGGAAACUGGGGCUAAUACCGGAUAGGAGCUCCUGCUGCAUGGUGGGGGUUGGAAAGUUUCGGCGGUUGGGGAUGGACUCGCGGCUUAUCAGCUUGUUGGUGGGGUAGUGGCUUACCAAGGCUUUGACGGGUAGCCGGCCUGAGAGGGUGACCGGCCACAUUGGGACUGAGAUACGGCCCAGACUCCUACGGGAGGCAGCAGUGGGGAAUAUUGCACAAUGGGCGGAAGCCUGAUGCAGCAACGCCGCGUGCGGGAUGACGGCCUUCGGGUUGUAAACCGCUUUCGCCUGUGACGAAGCGUGAGUGACGGUAAUGGGUAAAGAAGCACCGGCUAACUACGUG